CAGGGGUGGCAAGGAAGGCAGAUCCCAAGUCUUCAGACUUCAGACUGUGACAGUGCCGUGUUUUGUGGUGCAUUUCACCCCAAGAGAAGUUGGUACAGCUGACCCAAGGUCAUCUCCAGAGUAUCGUUUGCCAGCUUUUUCUGUACUCAUUCCACAGCUGAAUCUCUUGGGCCGAGAAAGAACAUGUAUCUGUGCCCCUCACAACAUGGCCUUGGGCAGUAGAAUGCAUCCCAUAUGGAACUUAAUGACUUCAGAGGUAUGUUGACUCUGUCCUAUUGAGGCGGGUGAAAAAAAUGAUGGCUGUGACAGAAAGGACAAGCUUCUUUCAAGUCUUUUUUUUAAAAAAGGCCUACCACCUCUGGCUAGGAAUAGAGGUGGCCAGGUGACAUCUGUGCUAACUGUAGUGGUUUUCACCACAAGGAUUCAGUUGUGCUUGAAGCCAUCGCUCUUUCUGGAUGAUGUAAAGACUCUGCAGAGCAUACUGAGGAGAACAUCAUAAAGAUUUUGGUCUUUGUGGUACUCCUUGUUUCUUCAUGGAAGAAUCCGAACCUCGACCAAAUACCGUGGGUUGUGCUCCACAUCUUGUGAGUUCUCGACUGUGGAUGUUCGCCUAGUACAACAGAGGCCAAUGCAGAACAGGAUGGAGAGCUGUGAGCACAAUACAGUAAGAUGUGUUUGGACUAAUUGUGGAAGAAGUCACUCACAACGAUAAAAAGGAAGGAGUAACUACCACUGUUGCAAGUACGUGUAUUCUGUACUGGGACCUGGAAAUACAAUUGUGAGCCCAUGGGAAACAAGGAAUGAGAACCUUGAGAGGCAGAAUGCAAGACAAACCUCUGUAUCACAUAUCACUGUAUUCAACAGCACGCUACACAGCCAAGCAAGUGUUAAAGAUCAGCAGGCAAAGCCAUGAGAAUCCCGUUUUUCAUUGGCUGAUAGAGGCAUCCAGACAUGAUGAGCUCUCCACCUAGAUUCUGGAUUUCUGCUUUAACUUGACUGCAGAUUUUGAGCUGAUGGGAGUACAGCUUGAUCUGUUCUAGACUAUUUCGUUAUGUGUACUGCAGGAGGGUUAUACCAAUAAAACUCAAGGUAAUCCCAGCAGAUAGAGGUUAAAAGUCAAUCAGAAAAUUCAAAAUGGCUGUUUUAAGUCUACAGUGCUGUAAUUUGUUAUGUGCAUUUAUUUCCCUUGUUCAAUUGUGUACUUAAAAAAAAAAAAAAAAAAAAAAAAAAUUAAGUGCAAACCUUACCUUUUGAUUUUAUGGUGCUGUACAGAAGCCCAAAAGCAGAGUGUUGAAGCAAACGUUACGGUUUUCCAUAGGCAUUCCAUGUCAGAACAUCAUGCUAAACAGUCAGAGCUGGGACUGCUGCUGGGAAGUUGCACUUACCACGUGGUUUCCAGGAGGAAAGGAGGUUACAUAACCAAAACCUUACUUCCAGCUGUACCACUAUUUCUGCAGCACAGUUAGAAGGCAGCUCUCUCUCCCUUGGCUUGCCUGUGGUCCUACACAACCGUUCUGCAUAUUCAACUACCAUUAAUUAGCCAAACUGCAUGCAUCCUCUGUAUGAGGACAAAGACUGUCCUCAGUCACCAUUUCUGCAUCUGCAGGAGCAGACCCUGUGGUAAUUUACAGCUGCCUUCUGUGUAUCUGUGUACUGUUUCAUCAGUCUUACAGCAGGAGCUGCCUGAGGAGUCUGGACAGGCCAGAUUCUCCCACAUGGCUGUUUAGCAACACACAAGAGCUGCUUGGGGAAGUCUUAACAACACCGUAAAAGAAAUCCUCUGCACCACUUCACGGAAUCCCUCAUGAAGAAAUUCAGCUCAUCACCUUGUUUUCAGUCACUCCAUUAAU